GAUGAACGCUGGCGGCGUGCCUAAUACAUGCAAGUCGAGCGAAUGGAUUAAGAGCUUGCUCUUAUGAAGUUAGCGGCGGACGGGUGAGUAACACGUGGGUAACCUGCCCAUAAGACUGGGAUAACUCCGGGAAACCGGGGCUAAUACCGGAUAACAUUUUGAACCGCAUGGUUCGAAAUUGAAAGGCGGCUUCGGCUGGCACUUAUGGAUGGACCCGCGUCGCAUUAGCUAGUUGGUGAGGUAACGGCUCACCAAGGCAACGAUGCGUAGCCGACCUGAGAGGGUGACCGGCCAACCUGGGACUGAGACACGGCCCAGACUCCUACGGGAGGCAGCAGUAGGGAAUCUUCCGCAAUGGACGAAAGUCUGACGGAGCAACGACGCGUGAGUGAUGAAGGCUUUCGGGUCGUAAAACUCUGUUGUUAGGGAAGAACAAGUGCUAGUUGAAUAAGCUGGCACCUUGACGGUACCUAACCAGAAAGCCACGGCUAACUACGUGCCAGCAGCCGCCGUAA
rnacentral:rRNA from 1 species